GUUAGUGGCGGACGGGUGAGUAACACGUGGGAACGUGCCUUUUGGUUCGGAAUAACUCAGGGAAACUUGUGCUAAUACCGAAUGUGCCCUUCGGGGGAAAGAUUUAUCGCCAUUAGAGCGGCCCGCGUCUGAUUAGCUAGUUGGUGAGGUAAAGGCUCACCAAGGCGACGAUCAGUAGCUGGUCUGAGAGGAUGAUCAGCCACAUUGGGACUGAGACACGGCCCAAACUCCUACGGGAGGCAGCAGUGGGGAAUCUUGCGCAAUGGGCGAAAGCCUGACGCAGCCAUGCCGCGUGAAUGAUGAAGGUCUUAGGAUUGUAAAAUUCUUUCACCGGGGACGAUAAUGACGGUACCCGGAGAAGAAGCCCCGGCUAACUUCGUGCCAGCAGCCGCGGUAAUACGAAGGGGGCUAGCGUUGCUCGGAAUUACUGGGCGUAAAGGGAGCGUAGGCGGACAUUUAAGUCAGGGGUGAAAUCCCGGGGCUCAACCUCGGAAUUGCCUUUGAUACUGGGUGUCUUGAGUAUGAGAGAGGUGUGUGGAACUCCGAGUGUAGAGGUGAAAUUCGUAGAUAUUCGGAAGAACACCAGUGGCGAAGGCGACACACUGGCUCAUUACUGACGCUGAGGCUCGAAAGCGUGGGGAGCAAACAGGAUUAGAUACCCUGGUAGUCCACGCCGUAA
rnacentral:rRNA from 1 species